GCCCUGCACUCUGGGACAAGCCCUGGAAACGGGGUCUAAUACCGGAUACUCACUGCCUUGGGCAUCCAAGGUGGUGGAAAGCUCCGGCGGUGCAGGAUGAGCCCGCGGCCUAUCAGCUAGUUGGUGAGGUAAUGGCUCACCAAGGCGACGACGGGUAGCCGGCCUGAGAGGGCGACCGGCCACACUGGGACUGAGACACGGCCCAGACUCCUACGGGAGGCAGCAGUGGGGAAUAUUGCACAAUGGGCGAAAGCCUGAUGCAGCGACGCCGUGUGAGGGAUGACGGCCUUCGGGUUGUAAACCUCUUUCAGCAGGAAAGAAGCGAGAGUGACGGUACCUGCAGAAGAAGCGCCGGCUAACUACGUGCCAGCAGCCGCGGUAAUACGUAGGGCCCAAGCGUUGUCCGGAUUAUUGGUCGUAAA
rnacentral:rRNA from 1 species